CUAAUACAUGCAAGUCGAACGCGUUUCCGUUAUUGAUUUUAGAUGCUUGCAUUUAAAUGAUUUAACACGAAACGAGUGGCGAACUGGUGAGUAACACGUGGGUAACCUGCCCUUGAAGUAGGGGAUAACACUUGGAAACAGGUGCUAAUACCGUAUAACAACCAAAACCACAUGGUUUUGGUUUAAAAGAUGGCUUCGGCUAUCACUUUAGGAUGGACCCGCGGCGUAUUAGCUUGUUGGUAAGGUAAUGGCCUACCAAGGCAAUGAUACGUAGCCGACCUGAGAGGGUAAUCGGCCACAUUGGGACUGAGACACGGCCCAAACUCCUACGGGAGGCAGCAGUAGGGAAUCUUCCACAAUGGACGAAAGUCUGAUGGAGCAACGCCGCGUGAGUGAUGAAGGGUUUCGGCUCGUAAAACUCUGUUGUUGGAGAAGAACAGGUGUCAGAGUAACUGUUGACAUCUUGACGGUAUCCAACCAGAAAGCCACGGCUAACUACGUGCCAGCAGCCGCGGUAAUACGUAGGUGGCAAGCGUUGUCCGGAUUUAUUGGGCGUAAAGCGAGCGCAGGCGGUUUCUUAGGUCUGAUGUGAAAGCCUUCGGCUUAACCGGAGAAGUGCAUCGGAAACCAGGAGACUUGAGUGCAGAAGAGGACAGUGGAACUCCAUGUGUAGCGGUGAAAUGCGUAGAUAUAUGGAAGAACACCAGUGGCGAAGGCGGCUGUCUGGUCUGUAACUGACGCUGAGGCUCGAAAGCAU
rnacentral:rRNA from 1 species